rnacentral:rRNA from 1 species
GAUUAACGCUGGCGGCGUGCCUAAUACAUGCAAGUCGAGCGAACAGAUGAAGUGCUUGCACUUCUGACGUUAGCGGCGAACGGGUGAGUAACACGUAAGGAAUCUACCUAUAAGCGGGGGAUAACAUUCGGAAACGGGUGCUAAUACCGCAUAAUAUCUUCUUCCGCAUGGAAGAAGAUUGAAAGACGGCUCUGCUGUCACUUAUAGAUGACCUUGCGGUGCAUUAGUUAGUUGGUGGGGUAAUGGCCUACCAAGACGAUGAUGCAUAGCCGACCUGGGAGGGUGAUCGGCCACAUUGGGACGGAGACACGGCCCAAACUCCUACGGGAGGCAGCAGUAGGGAAUCUUCCGCAAUGGGCGAAAGCCUGACGGAGCAAUGCCGCGUGAGUGAAGAAGGCCUUCGGGUCGUAAAACUCUGUUAUAAGAGAAGAACAAAUUGUAGAGUAACUGCUACAGUCCUGACGGUAUCUUAUCAGAAAGCCACGGCUAACUACGUGCCAGCCGCCGCCGUAA